CCCGAGAGGACCUGGCACAGAGUACUUUUGUACUAUUGAUUGUAUAAUAAAGUCCUGAGGAGCUCCUUCGCGGGCCGGGCACUGAGGGAUUUUUGAUUCAGUCCAUCCGGUAUGUGAUUACUUGUGCUGUGAUGCAUUUCAUGUGAGCAUGUUUAUUAACAUGUUUUUAUUGUUCUACUCACUGGGCUAAUAUAGCUCACCCCUCUCCCUUAACCCCAGUCUUGCAGGAUCAGAGUACAGGGGGAGUUCAGCAGAGUACAUGAAGAGUAAAGAGUUGUGUAAUAGCAUAGUGUGGACAUGUAAUAUUGUAAAGAGAUGUUUUAGUAUUGUAUAGAGUAUAGUAGUGUGCUUGACCCAUAUGUUUUGUAAAUCCCUUUUUGUAUACAUGGUCUGUUUAUGUAAAUGUAUUUUUAUGA
rnacentral:lncRNA from 1 species